ACCGUCCAAACGUUAUUCGGAAUCACUGGGCUUACAGAGUUCGUAGGCGGUCUGGAAAGUUGGGUGUGAAAUCCCUCGGCUCAACCGAGGAACUGCGCUUGAAACUACCAGACUCGAGGGAGAUAGAGGAAAGCGGAACUGAUGGUGGAGCGGUGAAAUGCGUUGAUAUCAUCAGGAACACCGGUGGCGAAGGCGGCUUUCUGGGUCUUACCUGACGCUGAGGAACGAAAGCCAGGGGAGCGAACGGG
rnacentral:rRNA from 1 species